ACAAUCCCCUUUUCCAUUUAACCUAUAUAUCAUCAGAUGUCAAAUAAUGAAAUCACAGAGGUCUGAUACCUUCAACGAUUUUAGGCCUUAUAGAUCUAAUUGAUGGAGCUAAUCGAUCUCUGGGUUUUGUGGACGAGUCCUUGAAUCGUGUAAGCCAGAUUUGUUUAUUAUCACUAGUCAGUGGGGAAAACCAUAUCGGUACUGGUGGCGUCUGAAAAGCAUCACUGGCGAACGAGAGCUAUGAUUGUUAAUCGAUACGAGUCAUGUUUAAAGACUUUUAACAUAUGACGCUAUUGUAAAAGACUAUUUCAAUGCUGAAAAAUAUGAGGACAUGUAUGCAUAUGUACGUACGUACGUACGUGAUACUGAAGUGAAAAAGUUGCCUGCAAGGCUGCUUCGGAUGAAUGAGAAUGUUGAUGGUGGUGCAAGGAUUGUUAUGUGUCUAUUCAUAUUUAUGUAUGUGUAACAGUUGAAUGUACAUAGGUGUAACUGUAUGUUUUACAAAUAUGUGAAUGUCAUGUAUCCUUAUCAUGUUAACGUUUCAUUUUCA